rnacentral:rRNA from 1 species
AGGAAACCAAGAGCGUAUGGGGGAUGCCUAGACUCUAAAAGGCGAUGAAGGACGUGGCUUGGCUGCGAUAAGCUUCGGUGAGGUGCCUAGCAACCUGCGACCCGGAGACGUCCGAAUGGGGGAACCCAUCUUCGUGAACCGAAGAUAUUCCGUUUUUUAGCGGAAAGCAAACCUGGGGAAGUGAAACAUCUCAGUACCCAGAGGAAAAGAGACCAAUAUUUGGCUUUAAAACUCUAAACCGUUAGCUUAUGUUCGGUUUGGAGUUUUGAAGCCUUGGAAUUUCCUAAGUAGCGGCGAGCGAAAAGGAAAAAGCCCAAACCUACCCUAAUUCAUUAAGGUGGGGGUUGUAAGAUGGUGACGUUUCGGCUUCGGCCGGAGAAGAAGUUACAAAAUAUUUUAUUAAUCGAAUUUGCUGGAAAGCAAAGCCGUAGAAGGUGAUAGCCCUGUAGGUGAAAAUAAAAUAUCUUCUUGGUUACCAAUCUUGAGUACCUCGAGACAUGACUAGCUUGAGGGAAUCAGGCGGGACUGACCGCCAAGGCUAAAUACUUUUAGAGAUCAAUAGUGAACUAGUACCGUGAGGGAAAGGUGAAAAGUAGUCCGAUGAGGACGUUGAAAUAGUACCUGAAACCAUACGCUUACAAGGAGUCGGAGCUUUAAUUUCGAUUAGAGUGACGGCGUGCCUAUUGAAGAAUGAGCCAACGAGUUUAUGUUUGUUGCUCGGUUAAGCCCUUCUGGGGCGAAGCCUUAGGGAAACCGAGUGUUAAUAGCGCGAUCGCCGAUUUAUUGGCAAAGUAGCAGGCAUAAGACCCGAAGCCAAGUGAGCUUGCCAUGGGCAGGGUGAAUCACAUUGAGAGAUGUGAGGAGGCCCGAACCGAUUGGUGGUGCAAAACCAUCGGAUGACCUGUGGUAAGGAGUGAAAAGCUAAUCGAACUUGGUAAUAGCUGGUUCUCUCCGAAAUAGUUUUAGGACUAGCGUCCGGUUUACCUGUCGGGGGUAGAGCACUGGAUGGUUUGAAUAGGGAGCAAUCUCGUCAAACCAAUCAAACUCCGAAUACCGAUAGUUAAUUACCGGGCAGUUAGACGGUGGGGGCGAAGCUCCACUCGUCAAAAGGGAAACAGCCCAGACCGCAGUCUAAGGUCCCUAAAUUCACACUAAGUGCACUUAAGGAGGUGAAAUUUCUCUGACAAUAAGGAGGUUGGCUUAGAAGCAGCCAUCCUUUAAAGAAAGCGUAAUAGCUCACUUAUUAAGAGAUUUUGCGCCGCAGAUGUACGGGGCUAAGUGUGGUACCGAAGACGCGGAUUGAUGAUUUUUCAUCAAUGGUAGGAGAGUGUUCUUGUCCGCUAUGAAGCUUGAUCGUGAGGUCGGGUGGAGCGUCAAGAAGUAAGAAUGUUGGCACAAGUAACCGCAAUCCCGAUUAAAUCACGGGACGCCGAAAGACCAAGGUUUCCUUGGCGAUGUUGAUCAGCCAAGGGUUAGUCGGGCCUAAGGGGAUGGCGAAAGCCGAACCCGAUGGACACACGGUUAAUAUUCCGUGACUUCCAAUUGUUUCGAUGGGGUGACGAAGUUUAGUAUGCUGGGCGCAUUAUUGGAUUUGCGUUCAUAUCAUAAGGGGGGAUUCUUAGGAAAAUCCGGGAAUCAAUCCAGGGCUACUGUAUGUCAUUUUCUGUUCUUCGGAAUGGUAAGUGAUGGUAGAACAAUGGAUACCUCCAAGUGAAGUGAAGACUCAAACGUACGCGGGCGAGGAUUCAGCAAAGCAAGCUUCCAAGAAAAACCUCUAAGGUUAGGCAAUUGGAAACCGUACCCCAAACCAACACAGGUGGUCAGGUCGAGAAGACCAAGGCGAACGGGUGAGUGCUCCUCAAGGAACUCGGCAAAAAAGCGGCCGUAAGUUAGCGAUAAGGCCUGCCUGUAUGUCAAAGUACAGGCCGCAGCGAAAGAAUCCCUGGCGACUGUUUAUCAAAAACACAGCUCCCUGCGAACUCGUAAGAGGAUGUAUAGGGGGUGACGCCUGACCAAUGUCAGAAGGUUAAACAAGGUUGGUUUUUUCAUCUUCGGAUGGAUUUGCUGGCUUUGUAAGCCCUGGUGAAUGUCGGCGAUAACUAUAAUCGUUUUUUCGCUAUCGUCUUCUAUGUUAUAAUAGAAGAUACAAAAAAGGGCGAUUGUAAAAUCCGACCAUAUGCUGGAACAACUGUUCCUUAAAUGGAUGUAGAACAUAUGCUACCAAGAAGGUAACAAUGCAUAUGUGCAGUCAAUCAGCAGGAAAGACUUGAAUAUUUGUUCAAAAAUAAAAAUGAAAGAAGCGCAAAAAAUACUUUCUGAAUUUCGUGGCAAACAGAAAUUACUUCAUUAUUAUUUAGCCGGUUUUGUAGAUGGUGAGGGAAGUUUUAGUGUGGAGAUUAUCAAACAUCCGACUCAAGUAUUCGGCUGGAUGAUAAAUCCAUGUUUUCAAGUUUAUCAACAUGAAAAGAAUCGACACAUAUUAGAAUUAUUCCAACUGGUAUUCAAAACCGGAAAGAUAUAUCGUAGAUCUGGUAGCCAUCCUGUAUUAAACUUCAGUAUAGAUUCAAGACGGAAUCUUAUGGAAAAAGUUUUACCUUUUUUUGAUAAGUAUCCGUUGAUAGUUAAGAAAUCAACUUAUCAGACUUUUAAGUCUAUAUUGUUGAUGAUGGAAGAGAAAGAACACUUUACAAUAGAAGGGUUCAAAAAGAUAGUUGAUCUUGCUUAUUCUAUGAAUCAGCAAGGUAAAGAGAGAAAAUACACUAAAGAAUUUAUUUUCUCAACAUUACCAACUAGUAAUAUUCAAGAAUCCUCAGAGACUAUACGUCGGAAUUCAUUAAAAAAAUGAAUAUGAUAUAGUCCAAUCCAUUUGGCGACAAAUGGGGCUUAAAUGCCUAAGGUAGCGUAAUUCCUUGUCUGGUAAUUUCAGACGUGCACGAAUGGUGUAACGACUGGGGAACUGUCUCGAGGAGCAGCCCGGUGAAAAUGCAGUGGAGGUAAAGAUGCCUCCUACCCGCAGCUAGACGAAAAGACCCCGGGAGCUUUACUAUAGCUUGAUAUUGAGCAUAUUUUUUAACUGCGUAGCAUAGGUGGGAGACUUUGAAGUUUCGUUUUCGGACGAGAUGGAGUCGUCAGUGAAAUACCACUCUUUUAAGUGAUAUGUUCUAACCUCGACGGCAAAAACGGCGAGAGACAGUAUCUGGUAGGUAGUUUUAGUGGGGCGCUAUCCUCCCAAAAAGUAACGGAGGAGUCUAUUAAGGUCGGCUAGGCGCGAAUGGAAACCGUGCCGAUAGUGUAAUGGCAAAAGCCGGCUUAAUUGCAAGACGUACAAGUCGAGCAAAGUGGAAACACGAGCAUAGUGAACCGACGGUACACAUUAGACGUGGCCGGAGAUUAACGGAUAAAAGCUACCCCGGGGAUAACAGGCUGGUACCGCCCAAGCGUCCAUAGCGACGGCGGUGUUCGGCACCUCGAUGUCGGCUCACCUUAUCCUGGGGCUGGAGAAGGUCCCAAGGGUUUGGCUGUUCGCCAAUUAAAAAGGUACGCGAGCUGGGUUCAGACCGUUAAUAAUCUGAUUUUUUCGGAUUAUUAACACUCUGAAUCCACUUACAAUUAGUCGAUAAAGACCAACACAAAUCGUAUUAUUUAUACGAGAAUAAAUUCACGGCGGCAGUAUAUUCAAUUAUACUGAGAAGCUGACUUAUAUCGGUGAAAUCCUGGAUAUAAAAACAUUAUAUCGAAGGACAAUACCGAGGGAAGUUGUUUUGAAAACAACACCCGUAGAGACUGAAUGUCAGCUUGUCCUGGAAAGGGCAAAUAAUACAGUCCGAUCCCGCUAGUAAUAGCGGUGUCAUUUGAGUUUUUUAAACUAAUGGCUACAAUUGCGUGAGACAGGUUGGUCUCCUAUCUGCUGUGGGCGUUGAUAUUUGAGGGAAUUUGCUCCUAGUAAAUUUUUGCUACUUGACAAAGAAAUUUGUCAUGACAAUUUGGCUUAUAACGGUAAAGUCUAACUCUAUUAUCGGUUUUAGAGAAUUAAAUACAUUAGUCCUCGUGUUUAAUUACUUGCUUGAGGACCGAAUAAUUGAUAAGAUAAUACCGUGGGAAGUCAAUCUAAUCUAAAUAAUUCAUAUAUAGCAGGAUUUCUUGAUGGUGAUGGUAGUUUAAUGUUGCAAGUGAAGAUGCGCAACGAUACAAAACGAGGUAUACGCUUUAUGGCGACAAUUUGCUUCUAUCAAGAUACCCGCCAUGAACAUCCUUUGUAUUGGAUAAAAAAAGUAUUAAAGAUAGGAUAUAUUUCUCAUAGAAAAGAUGGCAUAACUGAACUCCGUAUUAAUGGAUUUGAGCAAGUUAGAGAUAUUUUAAACUUACUUAAACCAUAUAUUCGCUUUAAAGCUAAUCAAGCAUCAGCUUUAUUACAGGCUUGUCAGCUUUUAUCAAAGAAAAAGAUAGGAGAACUAUCUGAUUCUGAGAUGAAAAAAUUGAUAAAUUUUAUUUUUAUCAUAAAAAAAGAGAAUUAUAAAAGUAAUAGUAAAAUAGAUAAGAAAGUUAUGUAUAAAAGAUUAGGUUUGACCCCGUAACGACUUGGUAUAUGUACCAGACUUAUAUAAGAAAGAAUUGUUUCCAAGAAAAUAACUUUCUAUAUAGGUAACACGCCAACGCCCUAACUCUUUGAUUGAGAGGGUGAAGAUAUAGUCUACACUCCCAGAAAUGGGGGAUAAUAAGUGACGAGAGGACCGGAGUGAACUGACCUCUGGUCUGCCAGCUGUCACGCCAGUGGCAUUGCUGGGCAGCUAUGUCGGGCAUGGAUAACCUCUGAAAGCAUCUAAGAGGGAAGCCAAUCCCAAGAUUAGAUAUCAUUUGAGGCCCCUGAGAGAUUAUCAGGUUGAUAGGCACUAGGUCUAAGCAUAGUAAUAUGUUAAGCCGUGGUGUACUAAUCCGCCGAUU